AACGAACGCUGGCGGCAGGCCUAACACAUGCAAGUCGAGCGCCCUUUCGGGGGAGCGGCGGACGGGUGAGUAACGCGUGGGAAUAUGCCCUUCUCUACGGAAUAGCCUCGGGAAACUGAGAGUAAUACCGUAUACGCCCUGUGGGGGAAAGAUUUAUCGGGGAAGGAUUAGCCCGCGUUGGAUUAGGUAGUUGGUGGGGUAAUGGCCUACCAAGCCGACGAUCCAUAGCUGGUUUGAGAGGAUGAUCAGCCACACUGGGACUGAGACACGGCCCAGACUCCUACGGGAGGCAGCAGUGGGGAAUCUUAGACAAUGGGGGCAACCCUGAUCUAGCCAUGCCGCGUGAGUGAUGAAGGCCUUAGGGUUGUAAAGCUCUUUCAGCUGGGAAGAUAAUGACGGUACCAGCAGAAGAAGCCCCGGCUAACUCCGUGCCAGCAGCCGCGGUAACAC
rnacentral:rRNA from 1 species